rnacentral:lncRNA from 1 species
AAAUACAUGAAUGCAUAUAUAAAUAAAUAAAUACAUGAAUGCAUAUAUAAAUAAAUAAAUACAUGAAUGCAUAUAUAAACAAAUGAAUAAAUAAAUAAAUUAAAAAAAAAAGAAAGAAACUAAUUAAAUACUUUAAAAAAAAAAAAAAUAUCUAAAUGAAAAAAUAAAAAAAUAAAAACAGAAAAAAUAAAAAAAGAAGAAAUAAAGGUAACUUAUCAUCUUCUUUACAAUAUAAAUAAGAUAAAAUAAAUAAAACACUAUGUAAUACUUGAAAAUUUUACUACUAUAAAAUUAAAAAAAAAAAAAAAAAAAAACAUAUAAAUGUAUAUUUGCUAAUAUCAUUUUUACCUUACAAAGAAAAAAGUUAUAAGAAAUAAAAAUAAUAAAUCUAUUAUAUUUUAUUUUUUAUUUUUUUUUUUUUUAGGAGUAUUUUUCUUUUAAAUUAUAUAUUUGUAUAUAUAAAUAAACAUAAAUUUUUUAUAGAUUGUUUUAAACAAUUUUUUUAUUUUUUUUUAUUACAUAGCAUUAAUAGUUUUAUUAUUAUUUUAUUUUUUUUUGUGUUGCUUUUAAAAUAAACUAUCACAAAAAAAAAAAAUAAUAAAAUAAAUAAAAUAAAGUUUUACUUAUACUAUUUUUAUUAAUACUAACAAAUUGAAGUAUAUAUAUAAUACAAAUAUAACUAUAUAUUUAUAUAACUAUAUAAUAAGAGAUAUAUAUAUAUAUAUAUCUAUUCAAAUAAUAUAUUGCUAAAAAAGGAAAAAUAAAAUGGGUAACUGUUUAAGCCAUUUUAAAUGCGUAACCAAUAUUGCAGGAAUAUCAAGUUUAAUACUAUCUUUUUUCCCAAAAAUACUUUUAAAAAAUGCCCAUGUCCUUAGACCAUUACUAAAUGUAAGUUGGGGGUACUUAUUCGGUUCCACUCUUUGGUUUACAGUUUUUUCUGAAAUUGGCUUAUUAAGAGGCAUUAGUAGAAUGAAAAAAAUUCCAUCUCCAGAGAAUGCAGAAGAAGCAAAAAAACAAUUAGAAGAGAUACAAAAAAAUGAACCUACUUUCCUUAAAAGAAAUGAAGAUUUUAGUUAUUUUUUUAGCUUAUCCACUUUAUUUUCAAGUAUUUUAUUAUUAGUUACAGUUAAAUUAGCCUACGGUAAUUUACAAUUAAGAAUUAGUUCAACAGUUGUUAUGUUAGCCUCUUUAUUAAAUAAUUUAUAUUUACAUAAAAAAUUAAUUAGCAUAAAAGUAAAGAAAGAAGAGUUAUAUAAUAAUUUAAUUACAAAUAAAAAAAGCGAAACAAUAAUUGCAGAUAUUAAAAAGAAUAAAAGGGAAUUCCAUAUAUAUCAUGGUUUAUCAAUAAUUG